rnacentral:rRNA from 1 species
UACAGAGGUGCCGAGCGUUAGGCGGAAUCACUGGGCUUAAAGCGUGUGUAGGCGGACUUCUAAGUACCUUGUGAAAUCCCACGGCUCACCCGUGGAACUGCUGGGUAUACUGGUCGUCUUGAGCCACCUAGGGGCCAGCGGAACAAAUGGUGGAGCGGUGAAAUGCGUAGAUAUCAUUUGGAACGCCAACGGUGAAAACAGCUGGCUGGGGGUGUGCUGACGCUGAGACACGAAAGCCAGGGGAGCAAAUGGG